UACAUCCUUCAGGGUUUGGUGAGAUUCCAUACCGGUGGUAAAGCCCACGAGCCGCAAGGCAGAUCUGGUGAAAUUCCAGGGCCGACAGUUAAAGUCUGGAUGAAAGAAGGAAAUU
rfam:Clostridium tetani E88, complete genome.